AGCGCUAAUAUCUCCCAGCAAUGACAUGUGACAGCACGCAUGGAGUAUUGCCCAUCAGGGAAGCCCCCUGAGCCUUGGUGUCCAGAGUCUUUAUUGGGGCUCCAUCGCAUAGGCGUGGUUGACUCCACACGUGGCUGUCCUUUAGUCUCCAGCCCCUCCAGAGGCUAAGCUGACACCAUGUGGCCAAAGCCCCCACCCUGAAUCACACUGUUAGACUUUCUGGCAUGUCCCAAGGUCCUUAGGUAAACAGAGUCAUUCUUAUGGGGCAGAACCUUCCAAAAGCUUAAAGAUCACCUCCCAGGAGUUGAGGGCAAAGGGCAACCUCUCUUUGGGUAAGGUCAAUACUUUCCUGCCCCAAAAGCCACACUCUGGGGAAUAAAAAAGAUGAACAAAACCCAAGUAGUGGAGUAGAAGGCAACAGGCCUUCGUAUGCUCUGCUGUGGAUCUGCGGGUGCCAUGAUGUUCUCCAUACUUUGUGUAUGCCUCACGUCUUCCCUGAUGAGAAGUCUUUUAUUUUUUAUUUAUUUAUUUGAGGAAGAUUAGCCCUGAGCUAACAUCUGCCGCCAAUCCUCCUCUUUUUGCUGAGGAAGACUGGCCCUGAGCUAACAUCCGUGCCCAUCUUCCUCUACUUUAUAUGUGGGAUGCCUGCCACAGCAUGGCUUGCCAAGCAGUGCCAUGUCCGCACCCGGGAUCUGAACCGGUGAACCCAGGGCUGCCGAAGCAGAACAUGCACACUUAACCACUGGGCCACCGGGAUGGCCUCAAGAAGUCCUUUAAAUACCCUGAAUGAUCUGAAGACCCGAGGGAAAUGGAAGAAUAUAUUGGAUGCACAUGACAGCCCAGGCAUGGCGAUGACCGGUGUUGUCUCCCCCAAGGACAUCGACACUGCUCUGUCCAGCUGCAAAGGUGAGGGGGUCUGCUCUCUUCCCCAGACGGGGAGGGUCCUGGGGUGUCAAAGAAGAUGUGUCUUAGGCUACUCAGUCCAAUCCUCUUGCUUUCAGAUGAGGAAACUGAGGCUCAGAGGGGAACGGGUUUACCCAGGGCCAUCACCGGGCUUCCAGACUCCCAGUUCCUGCUCCUGGCAUGGAGACCACAGCUCCUCCUGUAGCAUCUGAGAUGUAAGGGAACAGAUCACCUUGAGUGACAGCACAGGGUCACAGGCAAAUGCACAGGCCUUGAGGUCAGAUUGCCGAGGUUCAGCCUCUGCUUGGCCAUUCACCAACCCCGGGACACCAAACAGCCAUUUAACUCCCAUUUAAUAGCUGUUUAGGUUCAGGGAGUUCAUUUGUAAGAUAGAGAUAAAAAUAGAAGCUGUUUCGUGCAACGGAUGCCCAGUAUCUGACAUGUGGUUAAGAGCUCAAUAAAUUCUAGAUAUUAUUGUUAUUAAUUUUGGCA
rnacentral:lncRNA from 1 species